GGGGUUCCUGGUGAUGGGAUUUUAUCCUCAUGCGCAGAAUCACAUUGCCAGGGAUUUCCAA
rnacentral:pre_miRNA from 1 species